rnacentral:lncRNA from 1 species
GGAGAGCUCAUUACUUUUCAGGCAAUCCAUUCCCCCAUUCAACCACUCAAAUCAAGUCAUUGUUAGAACUCAUAGACCCAAGUCCAAAUUUUCCUACCCACAGCCCUCAGACUCUGGUCUGAUAUUUGCCCGUGAGAGAAGAAAUUCUGAACUAUGCUGGCAAUUAGAAAAGAAAACCCUAUGUGGUAAUUUACAUAAUUGACUAUCGCAAGUUUAUAGUAAUAAAGAAUUUUCCCAA